AGUGGGAUAGCUGGGUCAAAUGGUUCCAUUUCCAGUUUUCCAAGGAAUCUCCAUACUGCUUUCCAUAUUGGCUGCACCAGUUUGCAGUCCCACCAGCAAU
rnacentral:pre_miRNA from 1 species